CCUACGGGUGGCUGCAGUGGGGAAUAUUGGACAAUGGGGGCAACCCUGAUCCAGCCAUGCCGCGUGUGUGAAGAAGGCCCUCGGGUUGUAAAGCACUUUCAGUGAGGAAGAACGCCUGGUGGUUAAUACCCAUCAGGAAAGACAUCACUCACAGAAGAAGCACCGGCUAACUCCGUGCCAGCAGCCGCGGUAAUACGGAGGGUGCGAGCGUUAAUCGGAAUUACUGGGCGUAAAGCGCGCGUAGGUGGCUUGAUAAGCCGGUUGUGAAAGCCCCGGGCUCAACCUGGGAACGGCAUCCGGAACUGUCAAGCUAGAGUGCAGGAGAGGAAGGUAGAAUUCCCGGUGUAGCGGUGGAAUGCGUAGAGAUCGGGAGGAAUACCAGUGGCGAAGGCGACCUUCUGGACUGACACUGACACUGAGGUGCGAAAGCGUGGGUAGCAAACAGGAUUAGAUACCCCGGUAGUC
rnacentral:rRNA from 1 species